UACAGCUUAUGCUGUUACCACAGCCUCCUCUUCCCAGGAGCUGCUUUCCUGAGAGAAGGGCACUCUGAGCCUGGCUGGAUAAGCAACAAACGCUGCCUCUGCACCCUAGAGUCCUGGCAGCCUGGUCUCCAUGCCCCCAUCCACCUCUUUUCCUUUUCGAGCAGAGAUGAAGAGCUCAAGCAGUAUGAGGAUAGGGGAGGGAGCCGCCAGGUCCCCCUCGCCCGCUGCCUCUGCUGCCUGUAGCUUUAGCCAGUACCCUAGACCUGCGGUCUUUGGCCAAGUGGACAGCAACCUGGGAUUGCCUUCCUCCGCCCGAUGGCUGUCAGAGGCCACUGGGAUGCCAAUAGAAUACGCAAGCCUUAGUUUCUCGGAAAAGCGUGCUCAAAUAUUUUUAGAUUCAAGGGAUUCCUAAAUCAGAAAACCUUGGAACCAGGAUUGCAGCCCGGGGUUCCCAUUUCUGCGAUCCUGGCCCCAGGGCCCGCGCUUGACCACCGCCGCGGCGGCUCCGGCUUAGGAGGCUGGUCAAUCUCAGACUUCCAAGACCCGGUUCUAGAGAAGCGGCUGUGUGCUCGGGAGCCCCGCGACAGCAACCGUACCCCGGAGAAGCCGCGGGAAUGUCUUUAUUGGAUGUUUGCGAAGAGCAUUUGGGGUUUCUGUCUGGCAAAGGCAGAUGUCACUACUGAGCUCCAAGAAUGUGGUCCUCUGCAGCAGAGCCAUCGGAUACCCAGCCGGCACUAAGCUCUCCAGGUCUCAGCCAGUCAUGGAGACUAAAUCCUCACAAAUCAUCUGGGAGGUGUGGACGAGAGAAGCAAGGCCCAGGGAAGCUGACUCACCCAAGACUUGGGAGACAAGGAGACCACACCCUCAAGAGAUGGGGUGACUUGCCUAGCCCCUCAUCCCCUCCGCAUUCCUCAGACCACAGAGCCAGAGAACCUGCCAGGUUUCGAGCGGACAAGAUGCCAAGCAUCACUGUGACUCGCACUGGGCUUGACCCUCAGCUCUAGGGCUCACUCCAUGGGACGACUGGAGGCAGGAGCUUCCCCGGGAGGGAGCUGUUCUGCAUGCACACAGGUCUACGGUCUUUGAACUGCCCUGAGCCUGGGGACUAUUGGUAGCCAAAGUGCUGAGCCAACCUGCCAGUUCUGACUCCACCUCUCCUCCAGAUGGGGUACCUGCCACAAGGCCCCCACAGGCUCAGGAAGUCCAGCUAUGGGACUGGCUGCUGCAGACCACACAGGCCGCCAGGAAGGACUAGGGAAGGGAUUCUUGGUUCACAAGAGCCACAUCACAGACGACACUGAAGUUCCCCCAGUGCUCCUGAGCCCCCACAUAAUGGAUGGGGCAUCACCAGGCAUCCCCAUUACCGGAGGAAGAGGUUCCAUGUGCCCUCAUCUCCCCAACACUGAUGCCAAGGACUUCCAGUCAAAUUCUGGCUCUACCCAGUCCAAGCUGUGUCACAUCGGGUAAGGUAACCCUUUUCAUCUUUUGGGCUGUUUUUGCUUUGAGUGGAAUUAAUGACAGUGCUCACCUGGUGGUGGUGUUGAGAGAUAAUGCAGAUUGAGGUUUAGCACAGUACAUGGGACUGAAGCAAUACCCAUAUAUGGUAGCUUGAAAAACACAAACUGGCUGGUCUUUUAAGCUCAUAAAUCUAAGGAGAGUUUAAUCAAAACCCCAAACUUCCUAUUCCCUUUAUACCACCCCUCCAGAGACAGGCCGUCCCUGAAUGUCAAACUGAGCUGAGAGAGUGUAGGUAUCCAUAAAUACCGUGACCACAGUGACCAAGGACAGGAUAUCCAGAGGCUAGAGGUGGUUUCCCCGAGGCCAGGGUUUCACCUUUAGGGGGCUUGACGGUUGGCCCUGGGGCCAAUGGGCCAGCGGGAGGGGGCAUGAGGCUGCAGUCAUUUUCCACAUGCUGGGCCUUGGCUGAGAGAAAGUGUUCCCACUGCUCUUUACCAACAUGUUUGCAUUUAUAUUGUUUUAAUUCCAACAUGACUUUUAUGCCGGAGACACUGGAUGCCACAAACAAGCUGUUUUAUUUCCCCUCCUAAAACCCACUGUGAUUUACAGGCCGGCUCUGGUGUAAUCCCAAUCUUUACUCAUGAAAGACAGGGCAGCUGUUUACAUGGCUCUGUGGGGCAAGGUCUGCCUGACAGAUGUGGGGAUGGUGGCUGGUGCACAUGUGCUUGCCUUUGGCACUCUGCCCUCUUAAAAGCUUUCAAUUGAUUGUUUUUAAAAACUUUUUACUCCAUGAAAAACGUAGAGAAUUACUUUUAUGCUUCAAUUAAAAGUUUCCCAAUAGCCAUAUGAAAGAAUAUGAAAUUAUUACCUCCAAUAAAGGCUCCUAUUGCUUCUUUCUUCGGAAGCACCUUUCAUCAGAGCAGAUCAAAGUGCAUCCGAAGCACUAAUUGAGCCUCGGAGCCAUCUGUGAGGAAGGGCAGUCCCCAGAGCCUCACUCACUGAUAAGGCAGGACAGAGAGGCUAACCUGGUUAGCUGGGGUCACACAGCAGCACAGUGCCAAAGGGGAGAUGGGGGAAGCAGGAAGCUGGCUACUUGCGCUCUGGUUCACAAGCACUUUGUCCAAAAUGGUUUUGAAUGGACUCUGGCACCUAUUACAAAUCUCAAUAGUUCUGGGGGAAAGUGUAAGCCGGGCGGUGCUUGCUGGGUUGCUUCUUUGCCACGUGUCCUGACAGGACAAGGAGCCAACCAAGGAGCUUCCAAUGCUCUAUCUCCUUUCACUUUUAAGAGGCAUUUAAAUAGUGUUUUAAAGUUACAUUCCACAUCGGCCUUUGGCAAAAGAACAGAAUAUGAAACCGUAGUGACUGGAAGCACGGAUGACAAACCGAUGGGUGGGCAUCCCUCACUUUGGCAGUAAAGUGGCACUCGGCAUACAGGGCAGGGAGAGCGUAGGCACGCGUGAGGGAGGGGUGCUGGCAUGAGCUUUCCUCGAGGGUUCCUCUCCUCCCACACAUAUGUGGGAAUGUGGCAGCUGCCUUUUGCUAGUAAGGCAGAGGACAGAGCUCACUGUACUGGCACCGAGGACCACAAAAGUAGGACCCGGUACUGGAUGGCUUGGCUGCUCAGAACUACAGGAGUGGGGAGGGGAGACACCCAGCGCCUGGGAGCAUCUGCCGCUGAUAGAGGUGGCCAGUGACAGAGGCUCUAGCCACAGCUCUUCCCCCUUUCAGUCCUCUGGUAAGUAAGUCCUGGCAGCACUACACAAUGUCUGCAGGCCACAGAAAGCCCUGGGGCCCAGUGGCCAUGCCUGUCCGCCCAUGGGAAGGGCCUCCUGGGUGCAGUGUCAAAGCUCUGCUUGAGCAGACCCUCCCUGGGUCAUAGGACAGGAAGCCUGCCCAGGGCCAGCUCUGUGACUGCAGGUGUGGAAACUCAGUGACAGCAGCGUUCAGGAAGGCAGUUACAAAGCUUGGCCAAGACGGUAAGAGCAAGCUCCACUCUAUCUUCCCCAUGGGUUCAGAAGGGAAGUGCUUUGAAAAGAGGAGCUUGCUAUAAAUGCAAGGAAGGGGUUUGAGGACUGAUCCUCAGGCUCACUGGGUACAGCCUGUGGUGUCAAGGAAAGUCACUGUGCUGUCACCUAAAGCCCGGCCUAAUCCUGAGGGACUGACCCAAGGAGCCGUGCGCUCUGGAUGGGAUGCCCCAGGUACAGCCACGGCCAGUACAGAGAGCCCCAGGUUGUGGCCGUUCUCAAGCCCAAGAUAUCCCCACUGCAGCCAGUUUUCCAUCAUCUUGGGGCCCGGUCCAGACUGCGAGCUUUCUGGAGGUAUGCAGCAUAGACUGCAGCAGGGAGGACCCUGUGAUGGGAGAGGCAGUGGGUCACAGCCUCUUCCACAUGCCAUGGAGCUCCCAAGGCCCUCUCCUCUCUCUGAGCAUACACCCAGAGGGGGCUGGGCCCAGCCCUGUUUGGUACUUAAGUGCCUGCUCAGGCCCAUCCCUCACAGUGAAACAGCAGGACAGAGAGGCAGAGAGCACAGGGGUGGGGAAAGUGAAGGAUGCCUGGGAAAACAAAGGUAAGAGGCAGAGGGCUUUGCUCAGAGAAUGCUGGGGUUCUGGAGGCGGGGGGAGCACCUCUUGUGACAAGCAUCCCCGCAUUCAUACCUCCCCUAUCCUCCCCACAUGUGUCUCUGUGUCCUGAAACUUCACUAUCUAAGCCAGCAUCUCUGAUGGCCCUAGUACACCCCGAGGUCACUUUCAGACAUUCGUGUUUGUAUUAUUCCUUAUCUCUGGCUUUGGGUCUUCUCGACUAAAGCAAGGGGGUUGGAAGCAACCUCCAGACCUCCACGAUGAUGGGCUCAAUAUGCCACUGAGCACAGGCCGUGUGCACUUACCUUCCACUGCCAAUGGAUGGAAACGCGAUGGACUUGAGCUUCUUGUCAUCUGCCAGGGCCAAGCAGUUCUUCACCGUCUUUUCCAGAAGUUCCUCACACUUGUCUGCACCCCACACCGGACUGUUACAGUGGAUCACAAACUUGGCAGGCAGGCCAUGGCCUGCGCUGACAGCAGCUGGAGGGGACGAGACAGGAAUAGUGAGUUCUGUCCCUCUGCAAGGCACAGGGCCCCAGAUGCCCAAUGCAGACCCCUCCAGCUGUAGCACAUCUCCUGGGCUCCCCUGUAUCUUGCACCUGCCUGCUGGUUGUGCUUCUGAGGUCAGCUCCAAGUGCAAAUUGUUGCUCCAUGGCUAGUCUUCUCAGGGGAAACACCGGGCCAAGACCCACCGCUUGGAGAGCUGGCAUGAGGACACGUCACUGACAGGAACUUUAGCCACGAUUAUAGGGAUCCCCCUCUGUAUCCUCCUGGAGGCAGACCCUUUGCAGCCUCAGAUUUACCUUUUGGGGUCUCCAAGCCCCAUUUCUCCAGUGGACUCCUGUACAGAUAGUUCCUAAUUAUCUCCAGUUAAUGAACCUUGAAGCAACAAGGCUGGCAGCUCCUCUUCUCCCUCACUGAUCCCCCUUAGCAGCGACAGAAAUAAACCGUUCUUCCACAAUA